GAGCUGGCUACGCUCGCAGCCUGCGGGCGGUGAGGCCCGGCGCCACCUUAAGUACCUACUGUAGGGCGGGUCCUUAAGGUCACCCGGGGCGGAUCAGCGCGCCCCGAACGGAUCUCCGAGCAGGCAGUGAUUCUUCAGAUAACUGCUUGCCAGUGACCCAGGCUUCCUCCGUCAUUGUCUUCUGAGUCUCUUGGGUAUCAAGACAGCCAGAUUACCUUUUGCACAGCACACAAGUGAAAGAAGAAAUGCAAGCAAAAGGGAUUAGAUAACCCGAGGUCGUGCUAAGUGUGCCAGUCAGUGAGAACCAGUCCAGGGAGCGGGACUUAGCUGGGAGGGCAGAACUCAACUGUCCUGUUACACCAGAGGUAGCCGGUGUGCACGUGCAGGCUAUAGUGUCAUGAAGUUGCAUUUAUAUUUAGAGUUAUGUUGGGUUUUGCAGGUUCUGAAAGAGUCCAAUUUGUUGAGAUGUCAAAAGCAACUAAAUUUAACAUAUCCUGGAUCCUAGAGAAAGUCUGAUGGUUUCCAUCUGGUGGAUAGACUUCCUCAUUUACAUUUUCAACGUUUUCUUACUCAUUCUUGAGAAUUCAUUUUUCAUUCAGACUUUACUAUCAACUUAUGUCGGUUAGGAAUUUUAUCACUUAACAAGGAGUAUCAUUCAUAAAUAAAUAGAUAGUUUUCCAUUUGAUAAAGAACCUUUGUGGCUUUGAAAGGUUAGGUAGAUGGAAAAAGAGCUUGGGGGAACAGGAUCAAGGAAGGGUGUGAUAUAUUAUUAGCAGUAUUUGCUUGGCCUUAGUCUUGAAUGCCCUCUGAAAUCCUAUCAGAAUGCCACGUCGACUGAGAAGCUGUAAAUGCCACUCACAGUGCUGUUGAUAGUGGCAGGUGUACCUUCCUGGAGCAAGUAUAACAACACGGGUGUGUUCUCUGGUUUUCAUACUUCCAGUUUUGAAAGUGUGAAGUCUUAAGUGAAGAACAGAGCCUGUACACAAUGGAGAUUGCCCAGAGUCCCUUGAUUUUUACCUAUGCAAGUCCCUGGGGCUGAAGUAUUCUCUUAAGAAACUGGCAGCCACAGCUUUCAAUAAAGAGCAUAUUGUUCAAAACGUA